AGAACGAACGCUGGCGGCAUGCCUAACACAUGCAAGUCGAACGCUUUUGGGGCUUCGGUCCCAAAGGAGUGGCGCACGGGUGAGUAGCGCGUGGGAACCUGCCCUGUUGUGGGGGAUAACCGAGGGAAACUUCGGCUAAUACCGCAUACGCCCGGGGGAAACUCCGGGGAAAGAUUUAUCGCAGCAGGAGGGGCCCGCGUCGGAUUAGGUAGUUGGUGGGGUAACGGCCCACCAAGCCUGUGAUCCGUAGCUGGUCUGAGAGGAUGAUCAGCCACACUGGGACUGAGACACGGCCCAGACUCCUACGGGAGGCAGCAGUGGGGAAUAUUGGACAAUGGGCGCAAGCCUGAUCCAGCAAUGCCGCGUGAGUGAUGAAGGCCUUCGGUUGUAAAGCUCUUUCGCACGCGACGAUGAUGACGGUAGCGUGAGAAGAGCCCGGCUAACUUCGCGCCAGCAGCCGC
rnacentral:rRNA from 1 species